rnacentral:tRNA from 1 species
GGUCCCAUGGUGUAAGGGUCAGCACUCAGGACUCUGAAUCCUGCAAUCUGAGUUCAAAUCUCAGUGGGACCU